CGAUAGUGAUGAAUUUUUAUGUUUAUUAUAUGUUUUUUCUGGCAUCUCUAAUGUUAGGGCAGCAUUCUGUUGUUCAAUGAAUACAACUUUUGACUCUAUCUGAUA
rfam:Pichia membranifaciens DNA, contig: CON073, strain: KS47-1.